AUUUGCUGAACUGCACUUGCUGCAAGCUUAUCAAUAUUAAUUGAGGUGGGCUGCAAUGGGGAGGAGGGAUUAGUAUGACCUUUCUAAAACCCAUGCUGGCUCAGAUAGUCAAAAAGCAGCCAACGGGAGAGAAACGGAGCAGGAUCCAUCAUGUCUGACAAACCGGAUUUUGCAGAAAUUGAAACGUUUGAUAAGACCAAACUGAAAAAGACUGAAACCAAAGAGAAGAAUUCACUGCCUACUAAGGAAACCAUUGAACAGGAAAAACAAAGCAAAAACACACCCUGAUGUUGAAUCAGAAGAUAUGGCNGACAUCUCCUGCAGUGGGACUUUAAAUUUUAUUAUUUUAACUUUGUUUUUAGUUAGUUGGGUGUUCCCUUUUCAAAGAUAGCAGGGAUCUUUUAAGUCAAAUGUCCUAAAAUCAAUCACAUCAACUUUUGUAAGUACCCAAAGGGACUACAACCUACUAAAAAAAGUGCACUUUUGUUGUCUGUUAAUUGAAAACAUUAUUUUCAUAUUAUAGUAAGUGAUGUAGAACUGCACAAUAAAUCAUGUUCUCUUGUG
rnacentral:lncRNA from 1 species